rnacentral:rRNA from 1 species
CCUACGGGAGGCAGCAGUGGGGAAUAUUGGGCAAUGGGCGCAAGCCUGACCCAGCAACGCCGCGUGAAGGAAGAAGGCUUUCUGGUUGUAAACUUCUUUUCUCAGGGACGAAGCAAGUGACGGUACCUGCGGAAUAAGCCACGGCUAACUACGUGCCACAAGCAGCGGUAAUACGUCGGUCGCAAGCGUUAGCCGGAUUUACUGGGUGUAAAGGGCGUGUAGGCGGGACUGCGAGUCAGAUGUGAAAACCACGGGCUCAACCUGUGGCCUGCAUUUGAAACUGUAGUUCUUGAGUACUGGAGAGGCAGACGGAAUGCGUAGUGUAGCGGUGAAAUGCGUAGAUAUUAGGAGGAACACCAGUGGCGAAGGCGGUAUGCUGGACAGCAACUGACGCUGAGGCGCGAAAGCGUGGGGAGCAAACAGGAUUAGAUACCCGGGUAGUC